rnacentral:piRNA from 1 species
UAACAUUGAAAGAGCUUUUUG